rnacentral:rRNA from 1 species
CCCGCUGAACUUAAGCAUAUCAAUAAGCGGAGGAAAAGAAACCAACAGGGAUUGCCUCAGUAACGGCGAGUGAAGCGGCAACAGCUCAAAUUUGAAAGCUGGCUCUUUUAGGGCCCGCGUUGUAAUUUGUAGAGGAUGCUUCGGGUGCGGCGCUGGUCUAAGUUCUUUGGAACAAGACGUCAUAGAGGGUGAGAAUCCCGUAUGUGACUGGCUACCUGUGCCUGUGUGAAGCUCCUUAGACGAGUCGAGUUGUUUGGGAAUGCAGCUCUAAAUGGGUGGUGUACUUCAUCUAAAGCUAAAUAUUGACCAGAGACCGAUAGCGCACAAGUAGAGUGAUCGAAAGAUGAAAAGCACUUAGGAAAGAGAGUUAAACAGUACGUGAAAUUGUUGAAAGGGAAGCGCUCGCAAUCAGACUUGCGCGGCGUCGAUCAACCUGGGUUCUACUUGGUGCCCUCGGCGCUGCUCAGGCCAGCAUCAGUUUCGGCGGUUGGAUAAAGGCCUAGGGAACCUGGGUUACUUCGGUGACUGUGAUAGCCCUAGGUGCAAUGCAGCCUGCUGGGACUGAGGCCCGCGCUUCGGCUAGGAUGCUGGCGUAAUGGUUGUAAGCGACCCGUCUUGAAACACGG